UACGUAGGGUGCGAGCGUUAAUCGGAAUUACUGGGCGUAAAGCGUGCGCAGGCGGUUCGUUGUGUCGGUGGUGAAAUCCCCGGGCUUAACCUGGGAAUGGCCAUGGAAACUGGCGAACUGGAGUGCGGCAGAGGGGGGUGGAAUUCCGCGUGUAGCAGUGAAAUGCGUAGAGAUGCGGAGGAACACCGAUGGCGAAGGCAGCCCCCCUGGGCUAGCACUGACGCUCAGGCACGAAAGCGUGGGGAGCGAACAGG
rnacentral:rRNA from 1 species